UCGUUUUUCAAAAACGAAGGCGUCGGCUAACCCUAGUCCGUUAAGUUGAGCUUAACGGUGUUAAAUGAGACAUGAAUUAACGUUUUUACCUUACAUAUUUGACAUACUUAUAACUGCUUAUUGCACAUUUGGCCCAAUUUUGUACAUCUAUACCAUGUAAUAACUAAUUUACUACUUGAGACAAAUUUGUUUGAUAUUUCAGUGAAUUUUGAUUAAAUUGACCAAUGUAGUAAAAUUCAACUAAAAUUUGAACUAAAUUCAGCUAAAAUUUGAACUAAAUUCAACUCAAAUUUGAUUAAUUUAAACAAAAUUCUCAUGAGUUGUACAUCAAAGCAAUUAACAAGUACCAUGUUCCGCAGUCCUCUUCAGCAGAAGAUACAGUUUAGACUGUCGUUUGCAUCACAUAUGCUAGUAGUAAAAUAUUGUUCAAACACUCCAAUACUCCGUCCACCACUGCACCUCAGCUCACCAGCAGCCACGUCUAGAGCUAGCGCACGCAUUUUCGCCUUUCCAAAGAGAAAGCAGCAGCGAAUCUGGAGGUGCUUGACGAGCGAGCCGGAGGAGAGGACGCGGGCGAUACGGGCGACAAGCUCGGAGACGGCGGUGGCGCCCACGGCGGCGGCGAGGUCGGCCGCCAAAU
rnacentral:lncRNA from 1 species